rnacentral:misc_RNA from 1 species
AACGCACAUUGCGCCCUUUGGUAUUCCGAAGGGCAUGCCUGUUCGAGCGUCAUUAUCACCCCUCAAGCCCCCGGCUUGGUGUUGGAUGGUUUGGUGAUGGAGCCCUUCGGGCCCCGGUCACCCCUCCCAAAGACAAUGACGGCGGCCUCGUUGGACCCCCGGUACACUGAGUUCCUUACCGAACACGUACCGGAGCAAGGGCCCGCGGAGCACGGUCUGCCUCCCCUCAGGGAGAACUUUUUUCUCAAGGUUGACCUCGGAUCAGGUAGGAAUACCCGCUGAACUUAA